rnacentral:rRNA from 1 species
UACGUAGGGUGCGAGCGUUGUCCGGAAUUAUUGGGCGUAAAGGGCUCGUAGGCGGUUUGUCGCGUCGGGAGUGAAAACCCAGGGCUUAACCCUGGGCUGGCUUCCGAUACGGGCAGACUAGAGGUAUGCAGGGGAGAACGGAAUUCCUGGUGUAGCGGUGAAAUGCGCAGAUACCAGGAGGAACACCGGUGGCGAAGGCGGUUCUCUGGGCAUUACCUGACGCUGAGGAGCGAAAGUGUGGGGAGCGAACAGG